rnacentral:rRNA from 1 species
GAUGAACGCUAGCUACAGGCUUAACACAUGCAAGUCGAGGGGAAACGGCAUUUGGUGCUUGCACCAUUUGGACGUCGACCGGCGCACGGGUGAGUAACGCGUAUCCAACCUGCCCAUAAGUAGGGUAUAACCCGCAGAAAUGCGGACUAAUCCCCUAUGUUGUUCAAAGACGGCAUCAGAUUUGAACCAAAGGCUUGCCGCUUAUGGAUGGGGAUGCGUCCGAUUAGCUUGUUGGUGAGGUAACGGCCCACCAAGGCAUCGAUCGGUAGGGGUUCUGAGAGGAAGGCCCCCCACAUAGGAACUGAGACACGGUCCUAACUCCUACGGGAGGCAGCAGUGAGGAAUAUUGGUCAAUGGGCGAGAGCCUGAACCAGCCAAGUAGCGUGCAGGAAGACGGCCCUAUGGGUUGUAAACUGCUUUUAUGCGGGGAUAACCGGCCUCACGUGUGAGGCCCUGCAGGUACCGCAUGAAUAAGGACCGGCUAAUUCCGUGCCAGCAGCCGCGGUAAUACGGAAGGUCCGGGCGUUAUCCGGAUUUAUUGGGUUUAAAGGGAGCGUAGGCCGUGGGUUAAGUGUGUUGUGAAAUCCGGUUGCUCAACAUCCGGUUUGCAGCGCAUACUGUCCCACUUGAGUGCGCACAACGCAGGCGGAAUUCGUCGUGUAGCGGUGAAAUGCUUAGAUAUGACGAGGAACCCCGAUUGCGAAGGCAGCUUGCGGGAGCGCAACUGACGCUUAAGCUCGAAGGUGCGGGUAUCAAACAGGAUUAGAUACCCUGGUAGUCCGCACGGUAAACGAUGGAUGCCCGCUGUUUGCCCUAUUUUGGGCAUGCGGCCAAGCGAAAGCAUUAAGCAUCCCACCUGGGGAGUACGCCGGCAACGGUGAAACUCAAAGGAAUUGACGGGGGCCCGCACAAGCGGAGGAACAUGUGGUUUAAUUCGAUGAUACGCGAGGAACCUUACCUGGGAUUGAAAUGUAUAGGCUGGCAGCUGGAAACAGCUGCUGUUCACUUCGGUGACUUAUAUGUAGGUGCUGCAUGGUUGUCGUCAGCUCGUGCCGUGAGGUGUCGGCUUAAGUGCCAUAACGAGCGCAACCCUUAUCGUUAGUUGCUAACAGGUUAAGCUGAGGACUCUGGCGAGACUGCCGUCGUAAGGCGAGAGGAAGGUGGGGAUGACGUCAAAUCAGCACGGCCCUUAUAUCCAGGGCGACACACGUGUUACAAUGGUGAGGACAAAGGGUAGCUACCUGGUGACAGGAUGCCAAUCUCCAAACCUCAUCUCAGUUCGGAUCGAAGUCUGCAACUCGACUUCGUGAAGCUGGAUUCGCUAGUAAUCGCGCAUCAGCCAUGGCGCGGUGAAUACGUUCCCGGGCCU